rnacentral:rRNA from 1 species
UACGGAGGGGGCUAGCGUUGUUCGGAAUUACUGGGCGUAAAGAGUGUGUAGGCGGUGCUCUAAGUUCGUUGUGAAAUCUCCCGGCUUAACUGGGAGGGUGCGGCGGAAACUGGAGUGCUUGAGCGCGGGAGAGGAAAGCGGAAUUCCUGGUGUAGCGGUGAAAUGCGUAGAUAUCAGGAGGAACACCUGUGGUGUAGACGGCUUUCUGGACCGUAGCUGACGCUGAGACACGAAAGCGUGGGUAGCAAACAGG